CACUCCUACGGGAGGCAGCAGUGGGGAAUAUUGGACAAUGGGCGCAAGCCUGAUCCAGCCAUGCCGCGUGAGUGAUGAAGGCCCUAGGGUUGUAAAGCUCUUUCACCGGAGAAGAUAAUGACGGUAUCCGGAGAAGAAGCCCCGGCUAACUUCGUGCCAGCAGCCGCGGUAAUACGAAGGGGGCUAGCGUUGUUCGGAAUUACUGGGCGUAAAGCGCACGUAGGCGGAUCGAUCAGUCAGGGGUGAAAUCCCAGGGCUCAACCCUGGAACUGCCUUUGAUACUGUCGAUCUGGAGUAUGGAAGAGGUGAGUGGAAUUCCGAGUGUAGAGGUGAAAUUCGUAGAUAUUCGGAGGAACACCAGUGGCGAAGGCGGCUCACUGGUCCAUUACUGACGCUGAGGUGCGAAAGCGUGGGGAGCAAACAGGAUUAGAAACCCUUGUAGUCCCAUGA
rnacentral:rRNA from 1 species